rnacentral:lncRNA from 1 species
ACGAGUAGUAUAGGUAGUAUAAGGGCAUUAGGGUAAAAAAUGCAAAUAACAUCACUAUAAUUUUUAUUUUUGACACAAGUUCCAUUCCAUUUGAAAUAUCACAUCUUACAAUAUAAUAAUUACUAAAUUAUCUAUAAUAAUGAACAAUUAUAUAUAAUAAUGAACAAUUAUACCUUAUAGAUACUAUAUAUUUCGGAAAAAAAUUAUAAAUACUAUAUACCACUGAGUAGUACUCCCUCCAUCCC